rnacentral:rRNA from 1 species
AGAGUUUGAUCAUGGCUCAGAUUGAACGCUGGCGGCAUGCCUUACACAUGCAAGUCGAACGGCAGCACGGGAGCAAUCCUGGUGGCGAGUGGCGAACGGGUGAGUAAUAUAUCGGAACGUGCCUAGUCGUGGGGGAUAACGUAGCGAAAGCUACGCUAAUACCGCAUACGAUCUAUGGAUGAAAGCGGGGGAUCGCAAGACCUCGCGCGAUUGGAGCGGCCGAUAUCAGAUUAGGUAGUUGGUGGGGUAAAGGCUCACCAAGCCGACGAUCUGUAGCUGGUCUGAGAGGACGACCAGCCACACUGGAACUGAGACACGGUCCAGACUCCUACGGGAGGCAGCAGUGGGGAAUUUUGGACAAUGGGCGCAAGCCUGAUCCAGCAAUGCCGCGUGCAGGAUGAAGGCCUUCGGGUUGUAAACUGCUUUUGUACGGAACGAAACGGCUAGCUCUAAUACAGUUUGCUAAUGACGGUACCGUAAGAAUAAGCACCGGCUAACUACGUGACAGCAGCCGCGGUAAU